AGUAAAAACAUAUAGGACAAUAAAUGUUUUUUAUAUAUAAUUUUUAAUUCUUUUUUUUUAAAUAAACCUGCAUAAAAUGGAACAAGUAAUACUAAUGAUAUUUUUUUUGGAUAUUUUUGUACUAUUUUUAAAUAAAAGUGCAUAAAAAUUGAAAAAUAAUAUUUAUCUAAAAAUAUUUAAUAAAAAGACAAAAACAAAAAUG
rnacentral:lncRNA from 1 species